rnacentral:lncRNA from 1 species
AGUUUUUGUUAUAUAAGCGAUCAGCGAAUCAGCGAAAACAAAUGCCUAGUGGAAUUGUUAGAUACAAAAGGAAAAACGAAAGUAAUAGAAAAUAAACAUAAAUUAAAGAAACAGAGAAAUAUAGUCUAUAUUAACAAUGAUCUCACCGCAAAAGAAAGGGAAAUAGACUACCACAUAAGAAAAAGGGCACAAACAGAGAAGAAUAAAGGUAAACAAGUACAGAUUAAAUAUCAAAAAAUUAUAAUAGAAAAUGAAGAAUGGAUAUGGAAUAAAGAAAAAGGAGAACUCGAAGUCAGAAAUAUGAAAAAUUCAAAAAACUGAUAUACGAAAAUACGACGGAAAUAGUGGAGACGAAAAAGGCAGGAAUAAGGACAAAGAAAACAAACAACG